GUAUGGGCUUCGAUAGAUAGCAGGCUCAUCCGCACGGGCAUCUCACAGUGUCCCAUACCAGAGCAAAGUGUAGCCUUGAACCACUGCCUGGCCUUGCCCAUGGGCUGGGGAAAUAAGUAAACAAAUA
rnacentral:snoRNA from 1 species